rnacentral:misc_RNA from 1 species
GUCCUCAAUUCUGUUCCCAAGGUUAGUGUCGAUUAUCUGUUUAUUUAUUGCAGUUAACUGAAAGGUCAUUUAUUGGAGUUGAGAUGUUAUUCUUAGUCAUAUUACGUGUCCAUCAGAAAUAUGCCUUUUGAUGCUGGAUUCUUACAGGCAGCCCCAAUGAGCAAUGCUUCUUUUGUUAUUGUUCCUUCCUUUUAUUAAAAAAUUUUUUCCAUUGUCACUGUGCAAGUUCAUGUGUUUAUAUGUGUAUUUUACCUAUUAACAUUCUGAACUUGACCAUUAAAUGGAACCCUAUGACAGUUUUCAGCAUGAAAAUAUAGCACUGAACUGAAGUCCUGUCAGCAAUAUUAUUGUCAAAAAAUAUUUGCUUAAGAUUUGUGAAACUGGUAAAGCACCUUAUUUAUAAGGUAUUUAGUUUGGUUUCUCACUUUUUUUAAUUUAUUUAUCAUAGAAGGAGGUGCGCAUAGGAAAAUAAUAAGAAUAGAGAGUUUGGAGUUCAGAAAAAAGACAAAAUGCAUAAUGCUAAAGAGCAUAGUGGUCAAAAGGAUGAUUGUUAACAAAUUUGCUUUUCCUUGGUUUGAACCUGGAAACCUUUGAGGCAAAAAAUGGUUGUUUGAUGCCUUAGGAUUUAUCAAUGCAAAUCAAUAUAUUUUGUGGAUAGAUUGUGUGACUUAUAAUCUACUAAGGAAUUCUGUAACAUGGUCAAAAUUUCCAUUUCUGCUACAAAUUUCUUAGAUAGGAAUUGUUACCAUGUAAAAACUUAACAUAAAUAAGUCUUUGUGUGUGUGUGUGUGUGU